AUGCCGGGCACUCUCAAUGAUAUCAAUGUGUUGCAACGGUCUCAUUUGUUUGCUAGGCUAGCUAGUGGUGAUGCUCCUGCUUGCAACUACACUAUCAAUGAGCAUGAAUACACAAAGGGGUACUAUCUUGCAGAGGGUAUAUACCCUCCUUGGUGCACAUUUGUCAAAAGCAUCAAAGAACCCAAAACUAAAAAGCAAUGUGAAUUUGCAACGGUGCAAGAGGCAGCCCGAAAAGACAUUGAAAGAGCAUUCGGUGUUUUGCAAUCUAGGUUUGCCAUUGUCCGUGGUCCUGCUCGUUUUUGGGAUAAGAAAACCUUAAAAAAAUAUUAUGACAUGUUGUGUUAUCCUGCACAAUAUGAUUCUUGA
rnacentral:rRNA from 1 species